rnacentral:rRNA from 1 species
UACAGAGGUGGCAAGCGUUGUUCGGAAUUACUGGGCGUAAAGGGCGCGUAGGCGGCCCGAUAAGUCCCGCGUGAAGGCCCCCGGCUCAACUGGGGAACUGCGCGGGAAACUAUCGGGCUUGAGUUCGGGAGAGGGAAGCGGAAUUCCGGGUGUAGCGGUGAAAUGCGUAGAUAUCCGGAGGAACACCGGUGGCGAAGGCGGCUUCCUGGACCGACACUGACGCUGAGGCGCGAAAGCUAGGGGAGCAAACGGG